rnacentral:tRNA from 1 species
UGCGAGAUAGAGCAGCGGUUAGCUCGUCAGGCUCAUAAUCUGAAGGUCGUAGGUUCGAUCCCUACUCUCGCAU